rnacentral:lncRNA from 7 species
GAUUUGUAAGACCUGAAAUUGGUAGGAAAAAAUAAAAUAAAUAAAUAAAUACAUAUAUUAUAAAAUUAUAGAAUAAGGAAAUAAGAGUAUAUACAAUAGGGUUGUGAGAAUUUUGAAGACCUUUGAAAAUCUAUUAGGACUCUCUGUCCUCAUCUUCAAACAGUAAUAGUAAAUUAACUAAGGGACCAAUAAAUAGUUAAGAAAGGUUGAUCUGUUGUUGAUUUUGUGGUGAUGCAUUUUAUUGAAAACAUGUAAUUAGAUCUCUAAUUUUAAAUGAAAACAUAAAAUAGUAAAAUGAGAAAAGGGAUUUAUCAUGAAACCAUUUAUUCCUCCCAUUAAUAAAUAAAAAAAUAAUAUUAAACAAUAGAGUAUAUAUUCACAUUUGGUUUAUAUUUGAUAAAUGGGAAUCUGAAAUUCAAACAUAAAGUUGAAUCAUAUUUGAUUUUGAAAAUUUGAAAGAAAUCAAAAUAGGAAAGAAAAAGAUAGGGACAGACCUGCGUUUGGGCCGACUCACCUUCCUCGUGGCCCACUCUCCCCUUUUCCAUGUGCUCUCUCGGCCCACUGUCUCCCGCACCCGCUCACUGGCGUCGUGGACCCGCGCGUCAGCCACCUAGUUCUCGUUCCCCCAAGAACUUGGUCACCGGCUGGUGGGGCCCAAUCGUCGGUUCCCUUCUCCCCAUCCCAGUCGCGAGCUCGUAACAAAAAUGUUGACUUCCGUGCGGCAUUUGUGGAGGAUCGUGCUUGCUAUCGCAACCUCCCUGGCUCGCGCCCACCUGGCUACAAAAGGGAAUCGAAGGCGCGACCCUCGUCCUCCAUUAUAGGUACUCCACCUUCCAAAAGAUGGCGUCGAUGGGAUUCUCCGCUAGUGCGCAGAGAGAGGGGUGGCAGAAGCCGUCGAGUGGGCAUCGCACCUGCGCCACCACUCCGGGACUCACCAAGUAGUCGGGGUUUGUCGCCAAGUCACCCCGCAUCGGUCCAUGGCUCUUUCUGGCGAGGAUUGCAUCCGAGAUGGGAGGAAUUCCUCACGGGAAUUGGAUUUUGCCGUCGUGGCUCAUAUCCUUCCGGGGACAGUGUCCGCGCUGAUAAACUCUGG